rnacentral:tRNA from 2 species
GGGCAUUUAGCUCAGUGGUAGAGCGUUGCAUUCACAUUGCAAAGGUCACUGGUUCAAUCCCAGUAAUGCCCAUCA